AUUGAACGCUGGCGGCAUGCCUUACACAUGCAAGUCGAACGGUAACGCGGGGCAACCUGGCGACGAGUGGCGAACGGGUGAGUAAUGCAUCGGAACGUGCCUGGUAGUGGGGGAUAACUGCUCGAAAGAGCAGCUAAUACCGCAUACGACCUGAGGGUGAAAGGGGGGGAUCGCAAGACCUCUCGUUAUCAGAGCGGCCGAUGUCGGAUUAGCUAGUUGGUGGGGUAAAAGCCCACCAAGGCGACGAUCCGUAGCUGGUCUGAGAGGACGACCAGCCACACUGGGACUGAGACACGGCCAAGACUCCUACGGGAGGCAGCAGUGGGGAAUUUUGGACAAUGGACGCAAGUCUGAUCCAGCCAUGCCGCGUGCGGGAAGAAGGCCUUCGGGUUGUAAACCGCUUUUGUCAGGGAAGAAACGCUCUGGGUUAAUACCUCGGGGUAAUGACGGUACCUGAAGAAUAAGCACCGGCUAACUACGUGCCAGCAGCCGCGGUAAUAC
rnacentral:rRNA from 1 species